rnacentral:sRNA from 46 species
CAUAUCUCUCUUACGGGAAGGAUGAGAAGCUUCGACUAAGGUUCGAUUCGAGCGAAAGCGAGAAAGCGUUGCCGCAGGCAACGACCCGAAGGGCGAAGCGCGCAGCGCUGAGUCAUCCUUCCCCCACCACCA